UACAGAGGUCCCAAGCGUUGUCCGGAAUCACUGGGCGUAAAGCGUGCGCAGGCGGUUUUGUAAGUCUGACGUGAAAUCCCCGGGCUCAACCUGGGAAUUGCGUUGGAGACUGCAAGGCUAGAAUCUGGCAGAGGGGGGUAGAAUUCCACGUGUAGCAGUGAAAUGCGUAGAUAUGUGGAGGAACACCGAUGGCGAAGGCAGCCCCCUGGGUCAAGAUUGACGCUCAUGCACGAAAGCGUGGGGAGCAAACAGGG
rnacentral:rRNA from 1 species